rnacentral:rRNA from 1 species
CCUACGGGAGGCAGCAGUGAGGAAUAUUGGUCAAUGGGCGAGAGCCUGAACCAGCCAAGUUGCGUGAGGGAAGACGGUCCUAUGGAUUGUAAACCUCUUUUGCCGGGGAGCAAAAAGCGGUACGCGUACCGCAUCGAGAGUACCCGGAGAAAAAGCAUCGGAUAACUCCGUGCCAGCAGCCGCGGUAAUACGGAGGAUGCGAGCGUUAAUCGGAAUUACUGGGCGUAAAGGGUGUGCAGGCGGCUGAGUAAGACAGAUGUGAAAUCCCCGGGCUUAACCUGGGAACCGCAUAUGUGACUGCUUGGCUAGAGUGCGUCAGAGGGAGGUGGAAUUCCACGUGUAGCAGUGAAAUGCGUAGAUAUGUGGAAGAACACCGAUGGCGAAGGCAGCCUCCUGGGACGCAACUGACGCUCAUACACGAAAGCGUGGGGAGCAAACAGGAUUAGAUACCCCUGUAGUC